rnacentral:lncRNA from 1 species
AUAGGCUCAAAAACUCAUUUGGCACUUAUUUAUGACAUGUUCAUUCCUUCAAGCAACUCAUAUUUGUCUCCGACAUCAACAUGUAAAGUAGCAAAUAUAGCGUAACAUCACUUAAGACCAAAGAUAAUACAAAUACUAAAAUUUGAAAUUAAUCAUGUCAUCCAAUGUUAAAACAAAUAAUACAACAAUUUUUUUUUAAACAACAUUCUACCCCCCAACCUAUUCUAAACAUGAAAGGAAAAUAUGCAUGCAGAAAUGUGAAAAUGAUGUAGAAAAAUUUAUUA